UACGGAGGGUGCGAGCGUUACCCGGAAUUACUGGGUGUAAAGGGCGUGUAGGCGGUCUCUCAAGUCCGAUGCUAAAGACCGAAGCUCAACUUCGGGGGUGCGUUGGAUACUGUGAGGCUAGACGGUCGGAGAGGGUAGUGGAAUUUCCGGAGUAGCGGUGAAAUGCGCAGAUACCGGAAGGAACGCCAAUAGCGAAGGCAGCUACCUGGACGAUUUGUGACGCUGAGGCGCGAAAGCGUGUGGAGCAAACCGG
rnacentral:rRNA from 1 species